AAUAGAUACCCAGGUAGUCCACGCCGUAAACGAUGAGUGCUAAGUGUUGGGGGGUUUCCGCCCCUCAGUGCUGCAGCUAACGCAUUAAGCACUCCGCCUGGGGAGUACGGCCGCAAGGCUGAAACUCAAAGGAAUUGACGGGGGCCCGCACAAGCGGUGGAGCAUGUGGUUUAAUUCGAAGCAACGCGAAGAACCUUACCAGGUCUUGACAUCCCGCUGCCCGGUAUAGAGAUAUAUCUUUCCCUUCGGGGACAGCGGUGACAGGUGGUGCAUGGUUGUCGUCAGCUCGUGUCGUGAGAUGUUGGGUUAAGUCCCGCAACGAGCGCAACCCUUGAUCUUAGUUGCCAGCAUUUAGUUGGGCACUCUAAGGUGACUGCCGGUGACAAACCGGAGGAAGGUGGGGAUGACGUCAAAUCAUCAUGCCCCUUAUGACCUGGGCUACACACGUGCUACAAUGGAUGGUACAAAGGGCUGCAAGACCGCGAGGUUUAGCCAAUCCCAUAAAAACCAUUCUCAGUUCGGAUUGCAGG
rnacentral:rRNA from 1 species